rnacentral:rRNA from 1 species
GACUGUUUACCAAAAACAUAGCCCUAUAAAUUAUUUAAGGUGGUAUCUGCCCAGUGACUAAAAACAGAAAUCAAAAUUUCAGAAUUAGUUAAACGGCCGCUGUAUCUUGACGGUGAUAAUGUAGGAAAAUAAAUUGUUGUUUAAUUGACGAACGUAGGUGAAUGAUUUUACGAGGUUUCCACUGUCUUAAAUUUAAGUAAUUAAAAUUUAAAUAAUAGUGAAGAUGCUAUUUAGAACUGUAAGACGAAAAGUCCCUAUAAAGCUUAACUAUACAUUGAUGACUCUUAAAAAUUCGAAUUUUUAAGAAUUUAAAUCGGUGAGGUAGUUUUGUUGGGGCAACAGCAUUUUAAAAAUAAAGAAUAGCAACCAUAUAUAAUAUGUUUAACAUAAUAUUUAUUGUUUAAUCAAUGAAUUUAACAAUCACUAAGUGGGGUAAAUGACCUGUCAUUCAGGUAAAAAUCAAAUGACAAUAAAUAGAUAAAAGCUACUUUAGGGUUAACAGGUUAAUUUUAUCUUAGAGAUGGUAUCGAAGAUAAAGUUUGACACCUCGAUGUUGAAUUAAGAUAUCCUGAUUAAUGCAGCAGUUAUCAAGGGUUGGUCUGUUCGACCAUUAAAAUCUUACAUGAUUUGAGUUCAUUCCGU